AUCCACUCCUACAGGGGUAACGUGACAACAGGUAUAUAUCCACUCCUACAGGGGUAACAUGACAACAGGUAUAUAUCCACUCCUACAGGGGUAACAUGACAACAGGUAUAUAUCUGAUCCUACAGGGGUAACAUGACAACAGGUAUAUAUCCACUCCUACAGGGGUAACAUGACAACAGGUAUAUAUCCACUCCUACAGGGGUAACAUGACAACAGGUAUAUAUCCACUCCUACAGGGGUAACGUGACAACAGGUAUAUAUCCACUCCUACAGGGGUAACGUGACAACAGGUAUAUAUCCACUCCUACAGGGGUAACGUGACAACAGGUAUAUAUCCACUCCUACAGGGGUAACAUGACAACAGGUAU